CUCGCCCACAGUUAGAACCGCCCGAAAAUCUCGCCUGCCGUUGCGUGGUCGACCCCACCUCCUUGCGGCUUUAUAGCCGAGUCUCUCCCAUGACUCUCCCCUCUCCUAUCUUUUGUGGGCGCCGUGUCUUCACCACUUCUCCCUCUCGUCGUAUGCUACCGCCGGUGAUCUCUUCUGUGGCGACGUACUGGUCUCUGCGCGUUGCCGUGGGAGUGCGCCGGGACCUUGGGUGGCCGCCCGAGUCCUCGGGACGAAUCAAGCGCCUCUGGUGCUCGCGGCAGUUCUUGUCGAUCGACGGGGAGGGAGCCGUGUCGCGCAUCGUCGCAGACCGCAACGCGUCCAUCGGCAUUGUUGCGUGAGGACACGAGCCACCUGAAGAUCAUCCUGGUACCUGGAAUCUCAAGUCCCAGGUCAAGAACAGGUACCACAGGAUGAGGCGCAUGGAUGAUGCUGCGAUGUGUUCGUGAGAGGUCUAGGCCGUCGUCUCCCAGUCAACUUCGGGUUGCUGGACCGUUGUCUCCAUAUAAUGUAAUUAUUUAUUUAUUUUGUACAAAACUCCUGUUAUGUAGUAAAGAUGUGACAUUCGAUCCUGUGCCAUGAUUCAUCAUAUGUGUGAGACUUGGUCCCAGCACACCUGGUGAUUAUGUUCGCGCCCGGGUUUUGGACCCCUAAAAUCCGGGUGUGACACCUACCAAAGGGCCCUAAGUUCCAUUUAGAGCAUAAAUUAUAUAUUUAACUUUAGCAACAUAUUUUAAG